CUGAACUCUAUGCUUGAUUCGGCAGGGGCAGGACCUGCCUGACCCGGUGUGACGGGUAACAAAAACUCUGAUACUCCGACGUGCACCCGUAGUGUCAUACGGGAUGUACGAAGCUCGGUAAAGAGCGGAGGCAAUAUCUGAGACGGUAUUGCGCCGCAGGAGGCUAUAAA
rfam:Anaerotruncus sp. G3(2012) genomic scaffold acPFl-supercont1.8, whole genome shotgun sequence.